ensembl:snRNA LOC120099425 U1 spliceosomal RNA
AUACUUACCUGGCAGGGGAGAUACCAUGAUCAGGAAGGUGGUUUUCCCAGGGCGAGGCUUAUCCAUUGCACUCCGGAUGUGCUGACCCCUGCAAUUUCCCCAAAUGCGGGAAACUCGACUGCAUAAUUUGUGGUAGUGGGGGACUGCGUUCGCGCUCUCCCCUG